rnacentral:rRNA from 1 species
CCUAAGUGCGAUAUCCUGCUUAACAAUAUGCCAGAAGUGUACAACAGCUACAUAUUAGAAGCAAGAGACUUUCCUGUCAUUUCAAUGAUGGAAUGCAUAAAGAGUAAGAUCACUGCAAGACAUGAGGGCAAACAAAGGCAAGCAAUAAAUAGUUGGAGCGGUAGGAUCUGCCCAAAGAUUAAGAAAAAAUUGGAGAAGGAAAUUGAGUUGUCUGCUAGCUGUUUUCCAAGUCAUUCUGGACUAGGAGUAUUUUCUGUGUUAUCAGGGAACAACACUUAUCUUGUGGAUAUUCAUGCAUGGACAUGUGAUUGCAGGAGAUGGCAACUGAGUGGUAUACCUUGCAGCCACUCAAUUGCAUGCUUUAGAGAAGAGAGGAUAGAUCUAGAAGAUAUGGUCCACAAGUGCUACACCAUAGAGACUUACCUACAAGCAUAUGGCCACAAUGUAAUGCCUAUGAGAGACAGAGCUCAUUGGGAGCAAGUGGAUGGACCUUUCAUUCAUCCACCAGUGUAUAAGAAGAGGAUGGGAAGGCCACCAAAGAACAGGAAGAAAACACCUGAAGAAAAGCUUCAGAAGGAUGGCAGCAUUGCUCUGAACAAGAAAGGUGUUAGUAUGCAUUGCUCAGUUUGUGGGAAAGCAGAUCACAAU